rnacentral:tRNA from 1 species
GCCUGGGUGGCUCAGUAGGUCAAGCAUCUGACUUCAGCUCAGGUCAUGAUCUUAGGGUUUGUGGGUUCAAGCCUCACAUCAGGCU